UCCAGACUCCUACGGGAGGCAGCAGUGGGGGAUAUUGGACAAUGGGGGGAACCCUGAUCCAGCGAUGCCGCGUGAGGGAAGAAGGUUUUCGGAUUGUAAACCUCUGUGGACAGGGACGAUAAUGACGGUACCUGUCAAGAAAGCCACGGCUAACUACGUGCCAGCAGCCGCGGUAAUACGUAGGGGGCAAGCGUUAUCCGGAUUUACUGGGUGUAAAGGGAGCGUAGACGGUUGCGCAAGUCUGGAGUGAAAGGCGGGGGCCCAACCCCCGGACUGCUCUGGAAACUGUGUAACUGGAGUGCAGGAGAGGUAAGUGGAAUUCCUAGUGUAGCGGUGAAAUGCGUAGAUAUUAGGAGGAACACCAGUGGCGAAGGCGGCUUACUGGACUGUAACUGACGUUGAGGCUCGAAAGCGUGGGGAGCAAACAGGAUUAGAUACCCUAGUAGCA
rnacentral:rRNA from 1 species